AGUAACAUAUCCCACUACAAACACGUUACCAUCAUUGUCUACAGAUAUACCGAGAGGAUACUGCAGAACACUUGUAUCACAGAACGUCCACAGUAUGUUACCAUGGUAAUUACAACAGGUUACACUGUGGUUGCCAAUGUCUGUGUAGAACAGUUUGUUACCGAAUGUUGUAACGUACGCACUGUAAGGAAGUUUGUUACUGAUAACAUUGGUAAUUG
rnacentral:lncRNA from 1 species